rnacentral:rRNA from 1 species
UACUCGAGUGGCGAACGGGUGAGUAACACGUGGGUGAUCUGCCCUGCACUUCGGGAUAAGCUUGGGAAACUGGGUCUAAUACCGGAUAGGAGCCAUCUUUAGUGUGGUGGUUGGAAAGUUUUUCGGUGUAGGAUGAGCUCGCGGCCUAUCAGCUUGUUGGUGGGGUAAUGGCCUACCAAGGCGGCGACGGGUAGCCGGCCUGAGAGGGUGUACGGCCACAUUGGGACUGAGGUACGGCCCAG